GAAUGUGUGCCACAGUGGUUUGAGUGUUGGACUAUGACUCUAAAGAUUGGGGUUCAAUUCCCAGCUUGGCCA